rnacentral:rRNA from 1 species
AACGAACGCUGGCGGCGCGUCUUAAGCAUGCAAGUCGAACGGCAAGAGAGGAGCUUGCUUCUCUCCUAGAGUGGCGGACUGGUGAGGAACACGUGGGUAAUCUACCCUUAAGAUGGGGAUAGCUGCUAGAAAUAGCAGGUAAUACCGAAUACACUCAAGACUUCAUAAGAGGUUUUGAGGAAAGGAAGCUACGGCUUCGCUUGAGGAUGAGCUUGCGUCCCAUUAGCUCGUUGGUGAGGUAACGGCCCACCAAGGCGACGAUGGGUAUCCGGCCUGAGAGGGUGAACGGACACAUUGGGACUGAGAUACGGCCCAAACUCCUAUGGGAGGCAGCAGCUAAGAAUAUUCCGCAAUGGACGGAAGUCUGACGGAGCGACGCCGCGUGGAUGAAGAAGGCUGAAAAGUUGUAAAAUCCUUUUGUUGAUGAAGAAUAAGGGUGAGAGGGAAUGCUUAUCUGAUGACGGUAAUCGACGAAUAAGCCCCG